rnacentral:lncRNA from 1 species
UGCAUAAUCAGGUUAAGUUUAUAUUUGUUUAUGUUUCUAAAUACAAAGAUUUAUAUAGUCCGCGUGUGACGGCCUCAACCCCGGGGUAAGAGUUGACGUCACUAAUAAUAAUGAAAAGGAAACACAACCUGAAUAUAAUAAUAAUAAUACAUCCCCUGACUAGGAUCUUGCCAGGUUUAAGUAUGAUUUAAGUCACCUGAAUAUUACAUUACCGUAAAUCUUAAAUCCGAAUAAACUCGCUAAUUAUUACAAUACCAUAACUUAUAAUAUCUGACUCCACUACCUCAGACGUGCCCAAAAUGGGUGGAGGGAUGGAACCCCGUCCACUACUGGUCAACGGUCUUCUGGGUGGUCUCGUUCUAGGCAUCUGAAACAGGUAUGUAAAUAUUUUGCAAGGGUGAGCUAUGAAUCGCUCAGCAGUACUAAUAUGAAUAAACAAGAGAUAUAAUCGAAAAACAUUUUAUAAGAGCAAGAGUAUAGAAAUCAUACAUGCUUUGAAAAUAAAGCAGUUAACCAUCAUUUGAUAUAAAAACUGGAAAUCAACUUUUAUUAGCAUGCUGGAAAAAUGUGAUAAUCAUAAGUUUUAGUUUCAAAAUUUCUCACUAGCAUGCUAUAACAGGAUUUAGUCUCAAAAUGAAUUAUCAGAUAUAAUGGACGCUAACAGGUGAAGAUAGCUGAUCAGCCUAUCAACACCGGACGACGACGAGGCCAUCACGAAUGAAUGUUCCGGAACCUAAAGACUAGCUAAGUCUUUAUCACGCUGGACUAAGGGGUUUAAAUUUUAAUAAUGUGCACCACCCGACUUAGCCUCUUACGCAACCUCAUGCUGGGUCGUUACCGAAUAACGGAACCUCUUACGCAGCUCCAAAUAGAGAUAUCUGAUCCAUUUCCAGUUUUCAGUUUGAAUCACAUUUAUUAUCUAUCCCCUUUUUAAAAUCACUACAUGAUAUUCGUGAAUCAAUACCAUGUCUCCAGAAUUUGAAUCUCAUUAUAUUGCAUUUAGUAAUGAUAAUUACUAAAUAAUUUCAGAAUUUGAAUCUCAUUCGGGAUAGACAAUCACAAGUUACUAUCCCCUAAAACCAAUUUUUAAAAGAUAAAUGAACUCCAUAUCAACCGGGGAAUACGUAACGUAAAACAUUUGACAUAAGACAUGCAUUCUUGCUCUACUUUAUUCAUAUAUGAUCUGAACCACAAGGAGUAUGGUCAGAAGUACUUGCCUUGCUGAGUAUAGGAAUCAGAUGCUAAGAAGGGAGUCAACUAGCCUACUGGUGUCCUGAAACAAAACCUACAGGAUCGAACAAUUCCCAAGUUAGACAGGCACUAAGUCAGACAUCCUCGCUAGACUCCAACCCUUUCGAUAAUACAACCCGACUCACAUAUAUAAAGUAGUACAGAUAAGCAGAUAAGGCUCACACAUUUCAAAUCAGGUUCGGGUUGAAUUCAAAUUGUACGAUCCACUGAUAGUACGAGAAAAUAGGGUUAUAAUACUGUUCGUAAAAUAUUACACCAAGUCACAUAAAUAUUAUCUAUAGACACGAUUGAUAGUUCGAUAAUUACAGGUGACGUUCCGUAUAAUUUAAAAUCUAAUUUUAUUUGAAAAUCGACAGCACCUCCUCUAUUUAUCGGACUACCAGUCGAUAUCAUAUCGACACAACAAAUUCAAAACAACCUGUAAUCAAUCCAAAGUACUUAAUCUAUAAAUACUAACUAACCCGAUACUCAAUCAAGCGAUCCAACCACAAAACAAUUAAAUAAACAAAUAACGUACUCCCUCCGUCCCAGUCAUUUGUAUACAAAUGGCUGGGACACGGAGACCAAGAAACUGAGUAAGAAAAGAGUAAAGUUGGAUGAAAAGUGGAUAUAGUGGUGGGACCCAUUUAUAUUUAAUAAUAAAUUUGAGAUAGUGGAGGAAAGAAGUGGGUGUAAUAGUGUUUAUAUUAUUAUAGAAUGGAGAUAGUGGAAGAAAGUAGUUGGAGUAAUGAUGUUUUAUAUUAUAAAAGUUUACUACUUUUGGAAUGUAUACAAUUGAUGGGACGUCCCAAAAAGGAAACUAUAUACAAUUCACUGGGACGGAGGGAGUAUCAAAGUCAGUUUCAUGACUCAGGCCGCAUAAAUAAUCUAGAACUCAAGUAUAACAAUUUACGGCCAAACCCACUAAGCCAACACACACAAAAACUCACGCACACACUCACCCACACCUGUUAACAUACAACCCCCCUCCCCCUGACUUUGACACACCCGUACACACACUGUACACUCAACACACACACACACACGUAGAUUACACACACACACCACACGAAAUACACACACUCCACACAUAAUAUACAUAGCAGCCACAAGCAUAAACCAGGAGGAAAAGAGGAGAGGAGGGAGAGAAACCGGAGGGAGAGAAAGGAAAACCGGAGGGAGACGGCGGAGAGAGAUUGUAGUGAAAGGCGGCGAAUGAAACAGAGAGAAAACGGAGGAAGUGAGGCGGCUGGAUGGAGGCGACAAGCGGCGACGCGGGGAGAGAGAAAACCGAGAGAGAGAGAGACUCAGGAGAGAUUCAGGUGAGGGUGAGAGAGAGAUCGGUCCAGAGAGAGAAAGGGAGAGUGAGAGAGAGAUUUUGAGAGAGAGAGAGAGGAGAGAUACAGGUGAGAGAGAUUGUGAGGGAGAGAGGUUUAGAGAUUAACGGGG